rnacentral:rRNA from 1 species
AACGAACGCUGGCGGCAUGCCUAACACAUGCAAGUCGAACGAGACCUUCAGGUCUAGUGGCGCACGGGUGCGUAACGCGUGGGAACCUGCCCUUAGGUUCGGAAUAACUCCCCGAAAGGGGUGCUAAUACCGGAUAAUGUCUUCGGACCAAAGAUUUAUCGCCUUUGGAUGGGCCCGCGUUGGAUUAGCUAGUUGGUAGGGUAAAAGCCUACCAAGGCGACGAUCCAUAGCUGGUCUGAGAGGAUGAUCAGCCACACUGGGACUGAGACACGGCCCAGACUCCUACGGGAGGCAGCAGUGGGGAAUAUUGGACAAUGGGCGAAAGCCUGAUCCAGCAAUGCCGCGUGAGUGAUGAAGGCCUUAGGGUUGUAAAGCUCUUUUACCCGGGAUGAUAAUGACAGUACCGGGAGAAUAAGCGCCGGCUAACUCCGUG